UCUGAACGUACCUGAUUUUCCCGGCCCCGCCAAGAGUUGGGUAAUACAAUUUAGGGCUCAGGAUCUGCACCCUCUGGCUGGGCCGUAUGAGGUGUCGCGAUGCCUGGAGGCAUAUCUGUUGUGGUUCUUCGGCUGCACUCUUUUCUGCAACUCUACCGGCAAUUAUGUGGACAAGGUGCUCAUGCAAUAUGCGCGCGCGAUUGCGGAUGCGGAGCCGAGCCAGGUACCUAGGUGGAGCUGGGGAUCGGCAGUGCUUGCUGCCACGUACCGAGGCCUUUGCUAGGCCUGUUUGAAGACGGAGAGGACCGCCGUCAUCACAGGCUGCCCACUUCUGCUGCAGCUAUGGUCGUACGAGCGAUUCGCCAUAGCACGCCCCCUAAUCAGGGAGGAGCCUUAUCUGCGCGAGAUGUAUGGGAUGUGGGACGAGGAUAGCCCCACGAUGGGUUCGCUUUGGACCGAUCGACGGACGAGCUGGGCACAUCGGCAGAUCCGAAAAGCAUACCCGCAGUUCGUGUCUGAAUUUGAUUGGAUGCGGCCACAGGAUGUCAUCUGGACCCCGUACACCGCUGCGACUAUCCAGACACGUGCGCCGCACGGGUUGUCUUCCCUCUGCACGCGUGACGAGGAGU